CAGAAUGCUAGGACUACAGAUGUACAUCACCACAUCAGGCUUCAAAGUACUUCCAUAGACACUCACUAGGUGAUUCUACUGUGCAGCCGGACAAAUAGGAAACGACCGCCUGAAUGAGACUCAUGCAGCACUCAAGAUGGGGGCAUCUGACAAGAGAUGGAUUCUUUGGGGCCCCUCCUACAGAGCUAUCGGCAUAUGGAGUACAAUGCAAUUCAAUGAAGAGGGCCAGGGACCUGGUUUUGAAAAAGUCAAAACCAAUGGAAGAAACAAAAAUGAAGCAUCCGAUGUCCCGAUAGAACUCAAAUGGUAACCCAGAACAGAGACAAC